CAUCACCUCGUUCUUGAUCAGCUUUUGCUCGGUUCGUACUUUGAGGAACUGGCUGACUUUAUUUAGUCCGAGGGAAGCACUUCAUGCACGCCGAGGCGGACUGAGGUUGUCACGCACAGAUGAAGAAACUAAGGAACAAGAGAUCCAGAGACUCAAAGUCCUACAGAGCUUCAAUAACAGCCAGACCUCAACUCGGGUUGUCAAGCUCUUCGGGUUUCCCCCAUUCUCUGCAGUGCUGACCUUUCCAUCUUGGAUUGUCAACAAGCAAAGGGGAAAGGCUCAAGAGGUCCCAAGCCCCCCUGGAGAGAGGAGACAGCACAGUCUGAAUUCCAAUCCUAUUCUACCGGGAUGGGAUUGGUCAACAGUGCGCUUGACAAGAUUUAUAGAGUCAGACACGAAGGUGGAGCUGUUGUGCUUCAAGAUAGAGCCAACCAGAUGGAGGGGAACAAGAUGGCCGCCAGUCCCUCGAAACCCAACCUUAACCACACAGCCCAGUGCCUCCCAACUUUGAUUUGAUUUCCGCUGGCCUACCUCUCUGAGCAUCUUCACAAGUGAUAAAGGAAAGGUUCUGGAGUUUACAGAGCUGCUAGUCUGAGUCAGACAUGAGUCCGGGAGUCAAAAGAGAUUUUACACUUGUGAGGCCCACAGCACAUUCGAGAGGUCCAAUUAUCAUCCCCAUUUUGCAGAUGGAAAUGUGUGAGAUUCAGACGACAACUGACCCAAUGUCCCACCAUGGAAGUGGCAGAGGCAGGAGUCAAGCCUGGGGAUGACACCUGGUCUCUGACAUGACUCACUCCUCUGAAGGCACUUAAGAUGGCCACACUGAGGACCUGAAA